rnacentral:rRNA from 1 species
GAUGAACGCUGGCGGCGUGCUUAACACAUGCAAGUCGAGCGAGAUUAUUCUUCGGAAUAGUCUAGCGGCGGACGGGUGAGUAACACGUGGGCAACCUGCCUUGUAGAGGUGGAUAGCCUUCCGAAAGCAGGAUUAAUACCGCAUAAUGUUAUUGAAAGGCAUCUUUCGAUAAUCAAAGGAGAAAUCAGCUACAAGAUGGGCCCGCGGCGCAUUAGGUAGUUGGUGAGGUAACGGCUCACCAAGGCGACGAUGCGUAGCCGACCUGGGAGGGUGAUCGACCACAUUGGGACUGAGACACGGCCAAGACUCCUACGGGAGGCAGCAGUGGGGAAUAUUGCACAAUGGGGGAAACCCUGAUGCAGCAACGCCGCGUGAGUGAUGACGGCCUUCGGGUUGUAAAGCUCUGUCUUUGGGGACGAUAAUGACGGUACCCAAGGAGGAAGUCACGGCUAACUACGUGCCAGCAGCCGCCGUAA